AGAGUUUGAUCCUGGCUCAGGACUAACGCUGGCGGCGUGCCUAACACAUGCAAGUCGAACGAGGUAGCAAUACCUAGUGGCAGACGGGUGAGUAACGCGUAGGUAAUGUGCCCUCCUGCGGGGGAUACCGUUCCGAAAGGGACGUUAAUACCGCAUAACAUGCUCCAGGGGCAUCUUUGGAGUAUCAAACUUCCGGGGUAGGGGGAGCAGCCUGCGUUCUAUCAGCUUGUUGGUGAGGUAAUGGCUCACCAAGGCUACGACGGAUAACUGGUCUGAGAGGAUGACCAGUCACACUGGGACUGAGACACGGCCCAGACUCCUACGGGAGGCAGCAGUGAGGAAUAUUGCGCAAUGGGCGAAAGCCUGACGCAGCGACGCCGCGUGGAGGAUGAAGGCCCUCGGGUUGUAAACUCCUGUCAGUGGGGAAGAGAACGGACGGUACCCACUGAGGAAGCUUCGGCUAACUACGUGCCAGCAGCCGCGGUAAGACGUAGGGAGCAAGCGUUGUCCGGAAUUACUGGGCGUAAAGAGCUCGUAGGCGG
rnacentral:rRNA from 1 species